rnacentral:rRNA from 1 species
GAACCGAAGUUCUAAGAUUGCUACUACGUAGUAUAUCGGUAGGGGAGCAUUGAAACUACAGCGAAGGUGUGCGGCGACGCAUGCUGGAGUGGUUUCAAAAGAAAAUGUAGGCAUAAGUAACGAUAAUUGAAGUGAAAAACUUCAACGCCGUAAACCCAAGGUUUCCUGAUCAAUGUUAAUCAGAUCAGGGUUAGUCGGGUCCUUAGGCAAACCCGAAAGGGGUAGCUGAUGGAAAGUUGGUUAAUAUUCCAACACCUGCUUUAGAUUCGAUGGGGUGACGGGGUAGUGAAAGGUCCGCGUUCUUACGGAAUAGAACGUUAAAGGGUGUAGAUAUAGGUUGUGUAGGCAAAUCCGCACGACUUGUCGAACCUGAUAGUACAGCAAAGCUUCGGCCGCGCUGAUAGUGACCCUAAUCAGACCUCCGAGAAAAACCUCUAAGUUAUGUUUAAAGCAGCCCGUACCGCAAACCGACACAGGUGGGUGGGAUGAAUAUUCUAAGGCGCUCGGGUGAGCCGUGGAGAAGGAACUAGGCAAAUUAACGCUGUAACUUCGGGAUAAAGCGUACCGAUUUCGGACGGUCUCAGUAAAAUGGUUCAACCAACUGUUUAGCAAAAACACAGGGCCCUGCAAAAUCGUAAGAUGACGUAUAGAGCCUGAUACCUGCCCGGUGCUGGAAGGUUAAGGAAGGAUGUUCGGCGCAAGCCAAAGCUUCUGACUGAAGCCCCAGUAAACGGCGGCCGUAACUAUAACGGUCCUAAGGUAGCGAAAUUCCUUGUCGGGUAAGUUCCGACCUGCACGAAUGGUCUAAUGAGUUGAACACUGUCUCCUCCACGAGCCCGGUGAAAUUGUAGUAUCGGUGAAGAUGCCGGUUACCCGUCACGGGACGGAAAGACCCCAUGAACCUUCACUACAACUUUGCAUUGAUUUUGAAUUUUUGAUGUGUAGGAUAGUUGGGAGACUUUGAAGUUGUGUCGCCAGGCAUGAUGGAGUCAACGUUGAAAUACCAACCUUUAAACAUUUAGAAUCUAAUCCCUAACGGGAAACAGUGCAUGGUGGGUAGUUUGACUGGGGUGGUCGCCUCCUAAAAAGUAACGGAGGCUUGCAAAGGUUCCCUCAGUACGGUUGGUAAUCGUACAUAGAGCGUAUUAGUAUAAGGGAGCUUGACUGUGAGACUUACAAGUCGAGCAGGGACGAAAGUCGGCUAAAGUGAUCCGGCGGUUCUGUAUGGAAGGGCCGUCGCUCAAAGGAUAAAAGGUACUCUGGGGAUAACAGGCUGAUCUCCCCCAAGAGCUCAUAUCGACGGGGAGGUUUGGC